rnacentral:lncRNA from 1 species
UGAUGGUGGCGGGGGAGAUUUAUAGUAAUAUGGAGGAGGUGAUGGUGAUGGUGGAGGAGGGCUCUUGUAGUAAUAAGAAGGUGGGGGAGGAGAUUUGUAAUAGUAUGUUGGUGGUGGUGGAGGUGGUGACUUAUAGUAGUAAGGAGGGUGUGGGUGCGGUGAGGGUGAAGGGGGUGGGGGAGAGUUGUAAUAAUAUGGUUUGUGAUAAGGAGUAGGGGAAGGCUUGGGCUUGGGCUUUUCGCAAUCAUAUGACUUUUCAGGAGCAUAAGCAAAUGGCUUAGCCUUGAGCACAACUUCAUACUUAUCCUUGGACUUCACCUUCAAUUUGGUUCCCUCAUUAAGCUUGGUGGGUAUGUUACAGCGUGAAUCCUUAGGAGGAGCAUGGAGUUUAGCCUUGC